rnacentral:misc_RNA from 1 species
GAUGAAGAACGUAGCGAAAUGCGAUAAGUAGUGUGAAUUGCAGAAUUCAGUGAAUCAUCGAAUCUUUGAACGCACCUUGCGCCCCUUGGUAUCCCGAGGGGCAUGCCUGUUCGAGCGUCAUUUCACCACUCAAGCCUGGCUUGGUGUUGGGCGACGUCCUCUUUGGGGACGCGCCUCGAAACGCUCGGCGGCGUGGCACCGGCUUUAAGCGUAGCAGAAUCUUUCGCUUUGGAAGUCGGGGCCCCGUCUGCCGGAAGACCUGCUCGCAAGGUUGACCUCGGAUCAGGCAGGGAUACCCGCUGAACUUAAGCAUAUCAAUAAGCGGAGGA